rnacentral:lncRNA from 1 species
ACGUCUUCAAUAAACAGCUUUCGUCUACAAUAAACAUGGGCAUUAAAAUUUGUAGAUCGAUGAAAAGCAAUUUACAGUAAAAUUUUGACUGGUUAUUUGCUAAUGUAGCUAGCAUACAUAUCUUCAUUCAUUGUGACAUUCCUUAAUACAUCUCAGGGUAAUUACAAGUUCAAAUUUUCUCCAUAUAUUUUAUAUAAAAAAAGAAGCGAAACAUCUUAUAUCGUUGUGCUUUGACACCAAAAAAGAAAAAGGGAAAAAAGGAAAAAAAGACAUAUCAUUGUGCUUAUAAUCCUUAAAAAUUAAUCAAACAAGUCAUUCUCAUCGUAAGAAAUACGUGCGGACUUCGUCUUUGUCUUUAAAUAAAACAAAUCUCUCCCACUUACUUCUGCAGCUUUAAUCAGAUUCCUCCAAGUUCUUUGAGACAUGGGAAAUUCAUUAAUACCUUUAUUUUUAUUUUUUUUUAUUUUU